UGACGGUACCUGACUAAGAAGCCCCGGCUAACUACGUGCCAGCAGCCGCGGUAAUACGUAGGUUGCAAGCGUUGUCCGGAUUUACUGGGUGUAAAGGGCGUGUAGGCGGAGCUGCAAGUCAGAUGUGAAAUCCCGGGGCUCAACCCCGGAACUGCAUUUGAAACUGUAGCCCUUGAGUAUCGGAGAGGCAAGCGGAAUUCCUAGUGUAGCGGUGAAAUGCGUAGAUAUUAGGAGGAACACCAGUGGCGAAGGCGGCUUGCUGGACGACAACUGACGCUGAGGCGCGAAAGCGUGGGGAGCAAACAGGAUUAGAUACCCUG
rnacentral:rRNA from 1 species